rnacentral:rRNA from 1 species
UGGGGAAUUUUCCGCAAUGGGCGAAAGCCUGACGGAGCAAUACCGCGUGAGGGAAGAAUGCCUGUGGGUUGUAAACCUCUUUUCUCAGGAAAGAAUUUUGACUGUACCUGAAGAAUAAGCAUCGGCUAACUCCGUGCCAGCAGCCGCGGUAAUACGGGGGAUGCAAGCGUUAUCCAGAAUCACUGGGCGUAAAGAGUCUGUAGGUGGUUUUAUAAGUCUGCUGUUAAAUAUUAAGGCUUAACCUUAAAAAAGCAGUAGAAACUAUUAGACUAGAGUAUAGUAUGGGCAAAGGGAAUUCCCAGUGUAGCGGUGAAAUGCGUAGAUAUUGGGAAGAACACCAGUGGCGAAAGCGCUUUGCUUGGCUUUAACUGACACUAAGAGACGAAAGCUAAGGUAGCGAAUGGGAUUAGAUACCCCCGUAGUCC